GGAGAGUGCUAUGCCUGUGAUGAGCCCAUUUCGACUGACGACCGGGAGAAGUUUUUUAACCAAUUCACAGGUCAAUAUGUAGGUCCUAUUCAUAAGGUUUAUUGUAUUUCCAUACGAAUAUUUAGAUAGCUUUUACAAAUUUGACGAUCUCCAACUACCCUCGAGAAAAUUUUUUUCAACUCACUGAGUGAUGAGGAGUGUAGUUUAGAAGACCAUAACUUUGCUCAGAAGGUUUGGAGAACAUUUAAUUGCAGCAAUAUUCGAGAUUAUUUGAAAUUAUACUUAGAAAGCGAUGUUUUAAUUCUUGCUGAUGUAUUUAAAAACUUUAGGAGUAUUUGCUCACGAAUAUAUAACUUAGACCCAAUAAAUUAUGUUACUGCUCCUUCUGUUUCAUGGGAUGCAAUGCUUAAAUAUACAAAGAUAGAAUUUGGCCGCAAUGGCCAAAGUUUUAGUAGCAUCAACAAUCAUCAUAUGGAACGAAUGCACAAUGGCGCACAAACGCGCAUUGGAAGCACUAGACCGAACAUUAAAAGAUCUGCGCAAUGACUCGAUAUGUUUUGGUGGUGCAAUGAUUUUAUUAUCUGACGAUUUCCGACAAACACUACUAGUCAUUACAAGAUCUACUGCUGCAGACGAAAUAAACGCUUGCCUCAAAGCAUCAAAUCUGUGGCGAUAUGUAAAGAAACUUCAACUGUCUGUAAAUAUGAGAGUUGCAUUGUUGAACGAUCUAUCUGCUGAUGAUUUCUCGAAGCAAUUGCUGACUAUCGGUAAUGGCCGUGUUCCUGUUGACAAAUCGAGCGGUUUGAUUUAAUUUCCUCCAAAUUUUUGCAAUUUCGUAUCAUCAAAAGACGAGCUUAUCAACAAAGUAUUCCCGGAUAUCAUUGCUAACCACAAAAUACUAAAUGGUUAAGUGAGCGAGCAAUUUUGGCCGCUAAAAAUAAAGAUGAAGAUGACCUCAAUCUUAUAAUUCAAAAUCAAAUCGUAGGAACUCUAUAUUCAUUCAAAUCUAUCGACUGUGUAACAAACGAAGAAGAAGCCACUAAUUAUCCAAUUGAAUUUUUAAACUCCUUGGAUGUGCCUGGUUUACCACCGCACAAUUUAAAACUUAAAGUUGGCUCGGUAGUCAGUAUGCUUAGAAAUUUAAACCAACCAAAACUGUGCAAUGGAACGCGUUUGGUAGAAAACUGAUGAGCAAUGUGAUUCACGCGUCGAUACUUAAAGGAAAAUUUAAAGAUGAGGAAGUUCUUAUUCCAAGGAUUCCGAUGAUCCCAACGGAUAUGCCCAUUGAGUUUAAACGAAUUCAAUUCCCGAUUCGUCUUGCAUUCGCCCUGACGAUCAACAAAUCACAGGAUCAAUCCUUGACUAUUUGUGGCCUCAAUCUAGAAAAUUAAUGUUUUUCUCAUGGUCAAUUGUACGUGGCAUACUCACGUGUCGGCAAACCAUCCGCUUUAUUUGUUCUUGCGCCUGACCAAAAAGCAAAGAAUGUGAUCCAUGAUCAAUGUUUACCACAAAGUGCUUGAAUGAAAAUCCUAUUACCAUCGCAUUGGAUCAUUGCAACCUAUAGAAGAUGCACAGCAUAAAUUCUUGCAAUAUGGGCAAUAUGGAAGAACAACUUGACAGGCGUCAAGGGAUCAAGACAGCUACGACGAGAGCAAUUCUCCAAGAUCUACAGCAAAUGCUUCAUGAACAUCAUGCAUUGGUCAGGCUUUUCAAGACUGCUUUAGAGCGCAUGACAAGUGAUUGCAAUUCGGUCAAGUCAAUUAAAUACAUUUGCAAAUAUGUCACGAAAGGGAGCGACAUUGCGGUUUUUGGUAUCCAAACAUCCAAUACGAUGAAAUCACGCGCUAUCAAGUUGGUACCUUUUUCUUUCUAUCUAUAUAAACAUAUUAUUUUGUAUCAUUGUUUUACGUUCAUCAAAGCCUAAAUUAGUUCAGCUAAUAAGUAACACUACAUUCAUUGACUGUUAGGCGGUGCGAAGUUCGCCGGGUCAGCUAGUAUAUAAUAAAUACAAUAUAAAUUUAAAACAAUAUUUAUUUUCAAUGGGUAGUUUUUUUUAACUUUGAUUGGUGAAGUUUCAAUCCACCAAGAGACUCAUAGGAUUCGUUUCCAACAUGGUUUUGUUCUAAGGGAGGAUUACACAAAAAGAAUAAGUAGAUUUUAGGUAGAAUGCCCCUACUAUUGAAUGUAUUGGUUUAAUUUCACAUCAUAUUAUUAUACAGGGAGGUUUUUGAAACAGGCUUGGAAAAGAUAACAGAACCUUUUUCAUUCAACGGUCAAGUGACUGCCAGAUAAACUGCCAAAUAUAACCUCAUCUAGGCCCAAAUCCCUUAGUCCUCUUCUAAUAGUGAAAAUGGUUGCAAGUCGUUGGUAAAAAAUAAACUAAAAACUAAAAUGGCAUCUAAAAUUGUGUGUGAUCAGUGCUCUAAGUGCUUUGAAUUAACAGAAUGGUAUGCUCAUUAUGAGGAAUGGUCGGAUCGUAUAAAUGCUUUUUAAGUACUUAUGACCAAAGGGUCAAGCAAAGGGUCAAGCUAUCAAGAAGCAUCAACGUCAGGCGCAUCAAAACGUCCUAGAUUGGAGACUUCUCUGGAAAAAGCCAAUAUCACCUUACAACGAGCGGCGAAAGUUACCUGCCGUCUAGGGAAAUGCGUCAUAUACUGUCAGAAAAACGUAACGCAACUCGAGGAUAAUGAAAAUGUUAUUGUAAUUUCAACAGAGUCGCGAUUUCCUUUAAAAUCAUAUCGUGUUCGCUCUAAAAGAAUUUUAUAAUGAUUGCAAAGCGGACUUAACCAAAUUAGUGCGUUACUGUAUGAGUGAGUACGUGUCGGUUAAGUUCAAUCUAAAAGUAUAUGGACUGUAUGUCAAACAAACGGAUGAUAAAACCUUAACGGAAACGAUGAAGCAUUUCGUGACAUCAUAUAAGCCUAUAUAUGCAAAUGAGGAGAUUGAUGAACAUCUGAAUGAUGCCCUUGACCUUUUAAUCACUCUAAGUAGUGAAUUCCAGGAGAAGGAUUCAGGUUGGGCAAUAAAAAAAAUUUUGAGCUGACAAUAAUUAAAUUGGAACAUAUCGCUGUAAAUAGAUUUAUACCAGCUGCCAAUAAAAUAAAAUCUCGAAAUGCAUUAAUAAAUGUUAAAAAUGAAGAUGAUUAUUGCUUCAAGUGGUCAAUUUUAGCAUCAUUGGCAUAUAGACGGUACUUGAGCACUACAUUCGCAACAUCAAACCAAAAUAAAGCACGAGAUAACUUAACAAACCCUUCAUUCUAUCGAAUGAUAGACAUCAGGCAAGACAUAAUUUGCUAUGAAGGAGUGAGACUGGAU
rnacentral:lncRNA from 1 species